GCCAGUGUAGCUCAGUUGGUAGAGCAAAGGAAUCAUAAACCUUCGGUCGCAGGUUCGAGUCCUGCCACUGGCACUA
rnacentral:tRNA from 2 species